rnacentral:rRNA from 1 species
UACAGAGGGGGCAAGCGUUGUUCGGAAUUACUGGGCGUAAAGGGCGCGUAGGCGGCCUGUUAAGUCAGACGUGAAAUCCCUCGGCUCAACCGGGGAACUGCGUCUGAUACUGGCGGGCUUGAAUUCGGGAGAGGGAUGUGGAAUUCAGGUGUAGCGGUGAAAUGCGUAGAUAUCUGGAGGAACACCGGUGGCGAAGGCGGCAUCCUGGACCGACAUUGACGCUGAGGCGCGAAAGCCAGGGGAGCAAACGGG